CCUACGGGAGGCAGCAGUGGGGAAUAUUGCACAAUGGGGGAAACCCUGAUGCAGCGACGCCGCGUGAAGGAUGAAGUAUUUCGGUAUGUAAACUUCUAUCAGCAGGGAAGAAAAUGACGGUACCUGACUAAGAAGCCCCGGCUAACUACGUGCCAGCAGCCGCGGUCAUACGUAGGGGGCAAGCGUUAUCCGGAUUUACUGGGUGGAAAGGGAGCGUAGACGGGAUGGCAAGUCUGAUGUGAAAACCCGGGGCUCAACCCCGGGACUGCAUUGGAAACUGCCGAACUAGAGUGUCGGAGAGGCAAGUGGAAUUCCUAGUGUAGCGGUGAAAUGCGGAGAUAUUAGGAGGAACACCAGUGGCGAAGGCGGCUUGCUGGACGAUGACUGACGUUGAGGCUCGAAAGCGUGGGGAGCAAACAGGAUUAGAUACCCGAGUAGUC
rnacentral:rRNA from 1 species